rnacentral:lncRNA from 1 species
GCCUCCUCUUCCUCUCUCUCUUUAUUUAUUUUUUAAUUCCCACAACUCCUCAUUGAUAUCUAUCAACACAAGCUGUCGAAUCAGACCUAGAACUACUAGUAUUGACCCAUUUUGACCACUAUGCAAAUUUUUUGUCGGAUUGGCCAAAACACGGACUCAAUAGUAAUCAAUAUUGGUGGAUGUCCUCUUGUUUCAGCUAGGAUGACCACUAUCUUUUGUUUUGGCAACUCAAAUUAUGUCUUGGUCUUACAUUCUUGUUGGAAAGGUAAGAUGCCAAUCAUACUAUCCUAUUUUGACAGUUUUUGAAACCAUGUAUACAUAUAGUGGAGACUCUUGGAGCUGGGCAUGUAAAGCUUGACUCCAAGAGUGAAGCUCUGUGGGACCCACUUAUCAAAUAUCUGUAGGCAACACAAAAAGUAUCUUGGAUGCACAUGAACCUACCUCUACUGUAUUUUUUUUUCUCCUCUCAAAGAAACCUCCCCAAGAGCCAUCUAUAUUUUAAUAGGCAUGUCCUAAAGUAUAUUAAUAAAUCAAUGUCAUUAGUAAUGAGGUUUCAAGGCUGUGCCAACACAAGGACCCAUAAUGUGUCAACAUGACAGCUCUUAAAUCCAUUUGUAACUUUUAAUUAAAUAUGAUUUUUUUAAAUUUCCUCCCUUUGACAUGGAUUGAGAUGUGCUACCAAGAUAGGGCAUAGCAUGUGUCAUGCCAACAAGUGACUAGCGUGGGUACUGGCACUGAUACCUAAAAUUUUGAAUAACAAAGACCAUAAAAUGACCCUAUUAUCCAUGUUCAAGUCCACGUUAUUGUCAUAACAACAUCUAACAUAUUAAACACCUCAGAAAGCAUCCUAUAG